GUAUCUCCGAGUAUUUAUCGAGUUACGCGACGAACAUUAACGAGUAUUUAUUCCGCGAUUUAUAUUUUGUACUAACGACUCACGUAUACGGCUGUACAUUAAUUAAUUUAUUUAUUCGAAAUAUAUUUCGCACUAUCUAUCCUCGACCAAACCUUCACAACCGUAAUACGGCAAUAUCGAACAUUUCAUUCACCUAUCGUAGUUCGUACUCGAUAAGUUACUUUCGUAAUAUAUUCGCAACUUCGGUAACCAAUAACGCAUCUAUAUCUAUCUAGUACAUUGAUUCGCUUUUACUAAAUUUAUCUAAACUAAUCGCCAACGACGCAACGAUACUUUGUCACUCUCUAAAUUCGUAUUUAGAGAAGUCGAAGUUGAACCUUGAACGCCAAACACGUAGCCAAACAACGAGACUGAGGAACUUAAAAAAUAGAGUUGAUCUAUUCAAUUUGUAAACGGUCGUUUAUCCAUUAACGGUAAAAAGGGAGCAGCCGCGAAGUAAACUAUUGGUACUGUGUUUUAUUCGAUAAUAAUACUAAUUUACGUGGAACCACAAUUUUCGCACCAUCGUGAUGCAAGACAAGCAACCGCUGUUUACCAGAUUAACCAAACUGUUUAAGUCAAAGAACGUUAUUCGUACUGUUCUAUGGAAUAGCCAUACGUUGUUUAUUAUUCUGCGGCUUACUCGUAUAUCUGAAACAUCGUUUAAUAUAUGCUUCGGUGAAGCCGAAAAUUCUACCGUGCUAAUUAUUCAACGUACCCGUCUAACAAAGGCGUCUGUACACGCACGUUUACAAGUUGUAUGGACAAAAAUGUUUCAUUUUUCACUUUUUUAUCGAAACUCUGUGUGUCAUCAAUCAACGCGUACGCGGCUGUGUUGCGCGUCUAGCGUCUAUGCGCCGAGAUACUACAUAUGUACCUUGUGUAUGCUUUGCCAGAAGUUGUACACAGUGCAUCGAGUGCAAAUACGAAGCUCGGACAACAUCGAUAACACACACGCAUACAAUUUUAAACCUCGACUCCAGCGAAAUGGAAAUAUUCUAAUUUUCUGAUCCGAGAUACAAGUUUUAUUUCAACUUGCAGCACAUGAUCGAAGUCAAUGAUAAAUACACCUUUCUCGUUUCCCUGAUUUUCGAUAAUGUUAUUUGUAUAAUUUUUAAAAAUAGCCGACGAGUCGACCAACUUAUGUGAGAAGCUGUGCCUUAGUACUCUAAUACUUGCACGAGCGAUAUUAUGAAAAUGGUAAAGAAUACGAGAAAAGCGUUUAACGUAGAAGGCAAAAGCAAAUAGAAAAACAACUUUGAUAACAGGGGAUCGAUCGACAAUCUACCGAAUUUUAAAAGUGCUUUUCGACGGAAGAUGGGAGAUUUGACCAAUUUUGUUCCCCUUGUAAUUUUUAAUCAUAGAAUACAUCAUCAUAUGUUAUUAAAAUUGUAGUACUGUUUACAGCGUCUGGAAUAUUUUAGGACUUGACAGUGGCAGUUCAGGAAUAAAUAUAGUUGUAAAACUCCAUUUGAGCGUAAGAUAUACUUAUGUAAUACUAUUGACGCGAUGUCUGCAGAAAAUAACAAAUUUUAAUUAAACCUUAAAAAUAUUGGGAACAUCGUAUAAUUAUAUGCACAUAUAAUAUGCGCAUUACGAAUUUAUAGAUUGAAAAUCAAGCAUUUAAUCGAAGUGUAAAUAUAAAGGAGUCAGACGUAUAGACUACCGCUAAAUUUGACUGCUAUUGCAUAAAAAUAACUUGUACUUUAUUAUUUAGCAACGGCAUAAAUUCAUUGUUUAGUAAAAUGAUACACUGAAACUAUGAAUUUCUUAAAAGGGGAAUUUAAAAUAGAGCCAUUUGUCGAAAUCCAAAGCACGUUAUGAUAUAUUCAUCAGCUUGGACUCGGCUUAUAAUUAUAGGAAGAUCCAGCGAUAAACGAUCGCUUUCUAUUAAUAAUUUCAAGUACAUAUGUGUAUUCUCGGUGAUUUUGUUUAAUAUAAUAACGGUGUUAUUUUAGUAUCGAGCGAAAUUAUGUCCACAGUCAGUAAGAGGAUUUUAAAAAUAAUUCGGAUGAAACUUUCCUACACUUUAUCAUAGGUACGUAAUAAUUAAUAACUCAAAACAUAUUCGCAAUGUGUUUCUUUUACAUCUCUAUACCCAAGUAAUAAAAUACAAAUUCUUCUCAACCUUCUACCACAUACCAAAGACUCUUACACCGACCAAAAUAUACAAGGGAAAUUCAUCGCACAUGAUCAUAUGCCUAUUUCAACGUGCAAACGAUAAAAUACUAAACCUGUGUUCUCCAUCACGCACACUGUGAAAACUUACACCGUGCAACAAGAGAAAAACCUUUCGAUCCAUCGUUUAUCCACGUUAUUACGAGUAUUUCAAUUUCCCGUAGAA